rnacentral:lncRNA from 1 species
UCUGUGGUCCCAUUUCUCAAAAGGAGACAGUAUGGUUUGUGCACAGAAUUGAGAUCUGUUAGGCUAAUCUGUUUCUUAACAAGACAUUGAUAUUAAUCUUACAGCUACUCCAUCCUGUGUUGAAAACCCUGUUUGCUGGUGCAGUGUCCCUGGUGAACAUGAAUAUUAGAGAUUACUUCUUGUUCUAUUAUAGUUUGGCAAUAAAGAACAUGUUUAUGAUGUUUGGUAAGUCUGAUUUAGGAGGGGAUUAAAGAUACAUUAUUGUCACAACUAUUUUUAAUGAUUUUGAGAUAAAGGCUUUAUAGCUU